CUCCCUUAUGAGCAGAUGAGUCUUAGAUCUGUGGUGUAGAGACACUAGGAUGAAGGUGCAGAUGGUUGUUAGAGAAUAACUUGCACUGAGCAUAAUCAAUACGAGAACCACAUGGAUGUCUACUCACUCGUCAGUAGUCUUCUAGAUGCUGCAGUAGUGUGAGUAAUCUUUUGACCUGCGGUAUCAUUAGCUAUUCGCAGCGAAGUUAUUGGAUUUGACUGUAUG
rnacentral:lncRNA from 1 species